GAUGAACGCUGGCGGCGUGCCUAAUACAUGCAAGUCGAGCGAACGGACGAGAAGCUUGCUUCUCUGAUGUUAGCGGCGGACGGGUGAGUAACACGUGGAUAACCUACCUAUAAGACUGGGAUAACUUCGGGAAACCGGAGCUAAUACCGGAUGAUAUUUUGAACCGCAUGGUUCAAAAGUGAAAGACGGUCUUGCUGUCACUUAUAGAUGGAUCCGCGCUGCAUUAGCUAGUUGGUAAGGUAACGGCUUACCAAGGCAACGAUGCAUAGCCGACCUGAGAGGGGUGUCGGCCCCCCCGGAACUGAGGCACGGUCCCGACCCCUACGGGGGGCAGCAGUAGGGAAUCUUCCGCAAUGGGCCGAAACCUGACGGAGCAACGCCGCGUGGGUGAAGAAGGUCUUCGGGUCGUAAAACUCUGUUAUUAGGGAAAAACAUAUGUGUAAGUAACUGUGCACAUCUUGACGGUACCUAAUCAGAAAGCCACGGCUAACUACGUG
rnacentral:rRNA from 1 species